CGGAGCACAGUGCCUGUUAACAACCUGAGCAAGAUAAGGAUAAUAGCACCCUGCAACUUCUCACCAAGAGAGAGGGCAUCUCUGAACAAGACCGCUGAAGCUGAGAGCUGGAAGGAGCUGAGUGUCUUCUAGUCUCUCCCAGGAGGGAAGAGCUGUGCUGAUGGACAAGAGGACAGGUUGGACACUGUGCUGAUGGACAAGAGGACAGGUUGGUCACUGUGGACUUAGCUGACUCCAGGUCUGGAGGCUGGAAGUUGGAGGUCAAGGUGUCUGCAGGCUUGGUUCCUUCUGAGACUGUGAGGUAUGCUUCUACCAAAGAAAAAAUCAUGCUACUGUUUCCAAACACACUCUACUCAAUGACUGUCUCAUGUUCAGUAGAGCAAGAGCACCGGCAUUCAAAACUAAAAUUUCUACUCAAGAGCCAAUCCUCGUGGGAACAUAUGUGCAGAGGAGAUCAAUGAUGAAGGUGGCUGAGAGAUGCCAGGUGUCUCCAGGGCUUCCCUGGGUGGCUGUGAGCACAGCAGAUCUGCUUGCCAGUUUGUUCCACACGUGGGGGCGUGAGCACGAGCCACCAACAUGGAUUGGAGCUCUUCUCGGCUGUUUUAAGACUGUUUCAAGCUGUCCACCAUCUUCGGAAUUCCCUUUAUUCUUCCGAAGUGCCAGUUUCCUAUUAGAACCAAAAUAGAAUCAUCAUUUUCGUAUUUUCAAUGGAUUCAGAAACUAAAAAUGUUUUCUGGCAUCAAUUUCUGGGAAAAUGUACAUGCUAAUGUUUUGAAGGGAUUUGCAUAUGGGAACAACUUGCUCUCAUGAUAAAUUUUUUCUGCAUGGGCUCUGGCCUCAGGAGUCUGGCCUCAAAUCUCAAUUCUGAAAAUAGGUAUGGUAACGAUAUAACAAUAAUCAUAAUAAUUAUCCCAUAUAGUUGUUUCCAGGGCUAAAUAAAAUAGUCUAUGUGAGUUGCUUGGUGCAACACCUGAUUCAUAGAAGCCCUCUAAAAAUAAGGAGCGGAAGGGAUGGAACGGAGGUUAGAA
rnacentral:lncRNA from 1 species